GACGAACGCUGGCGGCGUGCUUAACACAUGCAAGUCGAACGGAAAGGCCCUGCUUUUGUGGGGUGCUCGAGUGGCGAACGGGUGAGUAUCACGUGAGUAACAUGCCCUUGACUUUGGGGUAACUUCAGGAAACUGGGGCUAAUACCGGAUAGGAGCUCCUGCUGCAUGGUGGGGGUUGGAAAGUUUCGGCGGUUGGGGCUGGACUCGCGGCUUAUCAGCUUGUUGGUGGGGUAGUGGCUUACCGAGGCUUUGACGGGUAGCCGGCCUGAGAGGGUGACCGGCGACAUUGGCACUGAGAGACGGCCCAGACUCCUACGGGAGGGAGCAGUGGGGAAUAUUGCACAAUGAGCGGAAGCCUGAUGCAGCAACGCCGCGGGUGGGAUGACUGUCUUCUGGUUGUAAACCGCAUUCGCCUGUGACGAAGCGUGAGUGACGGUAACGGGUAAAGAAGCACCGGCUAACUACGUG
rnacentral:rRNA from 1 species